UGCCUCACAAUCAGAUUGACCGGCGAAUUUGUUUACCCAUCCAGGGUCGGCUUGGGGUGUUGUUCGGCAACAUCUCAUCCUCCCUUGCGUUGGGAGGGGGUCGUGCCUCGCUCGGCCCACUCUCAACAAACACAAACCCCGGCGCAUCGCGCGCCAAGGAAUCCAAAAUUGUUCAGUGCAGUCCCGGGGGACCCGGAGACGGCGUUCCCCCGGUUCUUGCCACGACACACGAUACAAAAUGACUCUCGGCAACGGAUAUCUCGGCUCUUGCAUCGAUGAAGAACGUAGCGAAAUGCGAUACUUGGUGUGAAUUGCAGAAUCCCGUGAACCAUCGAGUCUUUGAACGCAAGUUGCGCCCGAAGCCAUUAGGUUGAGGGCACGCCUGCCUGGGUGUCACACAUCGUUACCCUCACGCAAAUGUCUCGCGUUGGCCGGCCAUUGCGCAGGGUGCAUGCUGACUUCCCGCGAGCGUCGUGCCGCGGUUGGUUGAAAACUGAGUUCGUGGCCGAGUGCGCCAUGAUAAAAUGGUGGAUGAGCAAGGCUCGAGACCAAUCAUGCGCGCCUCUGUCAGGUUUGGACUCCCGGACCCCUGUGCGUCUCCGGACGCUCUUAGCGAGAC
rnacentral:rRNA from 1 species